rnacentral:tRNA from 1 species
GGUGGCUCAGUGGGUAGAGUGCUUGCCUUGCAUGCAUGAGACCCAGGGUUCGAUUCCUCAGCACCA